CGACGACGCGUUCUGUGGCCCUGGAAAAUGCCUUGACGCUCGGGGACGGCCGGUAGCUCGGCGAUUCCUCGCUUGGCGCACCAUUGAAAACCGGCGGUCAUCCAGCAGUGUACGCUGCCAGCGUAUUUUUAUUGCCAGAGGCAGCAAACAGCAGUGCCACGACAAACAGUGGAGUGCUGAAGUCCAGAAGGUGGCUGAGGCAAGUAUGCUAUAGGAGGUGCUUGUUCAGGCAGAAGAAAUAAGCAUCUAUAGCCAACGUAAAGGAAGCAUCUUCAAAAAGCAGUGCUACAAGGAUGUGAGCAGCAGUUUCCCUUCAACGAACGGGUCAAAUUCAUGGAAGCCACGUGCCUGCUGC